rnacentral:tRNA from 1 species
UUCCUGGAGGACUAGUGGUUAGGCCUCGGCGCUCUCGCCACUGUGGCCCGGGUUCGAUUCCCGGCCGUGGAA